rnacentral:misc_RNA from 1 species
GAUGAAGAACGCAGCGAAAUGCGAUAAGUAAUGCGAAUUGCAGAAUUCAGUGAAUCAUCGAAUCUUUGAACGCACAUUGCGCCCGCCAGUAUUCUGGCGGGCAUGCCUGUCCGAGCGUCAUUUCAACCCUCGAACCCCUCCGGGGGGUCGGCGUUGGGGAUCGGCCCUCCCUUAGCGGGUGGCCGUCUCCGAAAUACAGUGGCGGUCUCGCCGCAGCCUCUCCUGCGCAGUAGUUUGCACACUCGCAUCGGGAGCGCGGCGCGUCCACAGCCGUUAAACACCCAACUUCUGAAAUGUUGACCUCGGAUCAGGUAGGAAUACCCGCUGAACUUAAGCAUAUCAAUAAGCGGAGGA